GCAGGAGUGAAUUAAUAUAAGGAAGUGAACCCCGCUGACCCAGCCUCAAUUUUGGUAAAUCUUGGGUUCAGGAACUUUCUCCGUGGCCUCGAGUUCUCAAAGGAGCAGCUGGAGGCCAGGUGUGGAGAAGCAGAUGUACGUAUACAAGGUGAGUGUGUGUAUGGAGGGGGUUAACUACCUGGUUCCCAGUCCUUCUGAAUAAUACUUGCUUAUAAAGGGGAAAUACUGGCUGUUUCCUGGACAAGUAUUCCCAGAGAGGACCAGAGGCAAGUUGGGGAGAAUCUAGGCCUUCCAGAACCUUGGGCAGUAGGAGCCAGAAGUGCCCUUGGUGAUUGCAAGGCUUCCCAACCCUUUCCAAUGCUAAGAAUGACCUGCCAUAAUUGUUCAGUAUUACAAGCUCUAGGCCAGUGGAUGUCUUACUUUAGCAGGCACCAGACUCACCCAGAGAGCUUGUUCAAACAACUGGGGGUCCUGCCCCCAGACUUCGAUUCAGUAUCUCUCCUGUUGGACCUGACAAUUUACUUGGGCUGCAUAAGGAAUCCCAAGAGGUGCCUGUCGCUGAUGCUCCUGGGACCACACUUUGAGAAUCACUGCCUAGUUGGCUCCCUGGACCAGAAUCUCCAGGAGAAAGAUCUGGAAGCCAUUUUCACAACUUCCCAGGUGCAGGAGCCACAGGGCACCAUUCCCCAAACAUGCCACCCUCCUUUCCAUCGUGGUGCCUUGGUGCCUUUACUCCACCUGAGGACUCAGCCAGGCACACCCUCUCUACCUGCCAGCAUCUUUCUCGUCUCAGCUCGUCUCUCUAUGAAGCUCUGGUGACCCCCAGCAGGUGCAUGGUCUCCUCUGGACUUGCACUGAUCUUGAACACUUGUCCACAGCUGCUCUCACUGCGGUGACAAGGACCAACUUGUUUAGCUUUCCAAGCAGGCUCGUCCUACUUGGUGACCCUCUGCUGUAUUGGCUGCGGGUAACAGGUGGGAGAACACUGGAAUGAUGCUACCCAUGGAUGCACUGUGGAGCCACGAUGCGGGCGGGCUGGAGUUCUGGCAAAAGCAGAUCCAUCCAGAGAGCAUUUUCCAGAAAGAAGAGGAGGGUAAGGAAGAUUCUAAGGGGCUUGGAUCUCUGCUGUGAGAUGUAAUUCCUGCCUCAUUCCUCCUCUUUCUGAAGAAUCUUCAGCAAAACCACCCAACAUUUUCAAAGGCUUUUGGAUUCAGGUUUUUCUGUAUUUUUACUGUAAUAAUUCCUAAAUGGAAUCAAGAAGGCCUAUUUUCAAUGGGGUCUGGACACUCUGUUUUGUCGUUCUUCUGGCCAUUGCUGCUUAUCCAAUUACCUUAGCAAAUAAAAAAAAAACCAGUAUUCUUUCUCUCUUAUGG
rnacentral:lncRNA from 1 species